GACGAACGCUGGCGGCGUGCUUAACACAUGCCAGUCGAACGGAAAGGCCCUGCUUUUGUGGGGUGCUCGAGUGGCGAACGGGUGAGUAACACGUGAGUAACCUGCCCUUGACUUUGGGAUAACUUCAGGAAACUGGGGCUAAUACCGGAUAGGAGCUCCUGCUGCAUGGUGGGGGUUGGAAAGUUUCGGCGGUUGGGGAUGGACUCGCGGCUUAUCAGCUUGUUGGUGGGGUAGUGGCUUACCAAGGCUUUGACGGGUAGCCGGCCUGGGAGGGUGACCGGCCACAAUGGGACUGAGGUACGGCCCAGACUCCUACGGGAGGCAGCAGUGGGGAAUAUUGCACAAUGGGCGGAAGCCUGAUGCAGCAACGCCGCGUGCGGGAUGACGGCCUUCGGGUUGUAAACCGCUUUCGCCUGUGACGAAGCGUGAGUGACGGUAAUGGGUAAAGAAGCACCGGCUAACUACGUG
rnacentral:rRNA from 1 species